GAAACAGAAAUAAAUGUUUCCUUAUCAGAAGUUGAAGAUCACUCAAUUUUACCACCCACGAUAGCAUGGAAUGAAGACGAUGACACAUUUCAAGGAAAAUUGGACUGCUUUGGAAAAAGCUGUUACCAUUUUUCAAAAGAAGAGAAAACUUGGGAGGAGAGUAGGGUAUCAUGCCAAGAUCUGCAGUCUAGUCUCGUGAAGAUUGAUAAUAAAGAGGAGCAGAUCUUUCUUCAAUCAAAAAUACAAUACAGUUAUUGGAUUGGAUUAAGUAGGUUUCAAGGGGGCAAGUACCUCUGGAAGUGGCUGGAUGGCUCACACCCAAGUACAAACCUGU